rnacentral:rRNA from 1 species
GAUGAACGCUGGCGGCGUGCCUAAUACAUGCAAGUCGAGCGAACGGACGAGAAGCUUGCUUCUCUGAUGUUAGCGGCGGACGGGUGAGUAACACGUGGAUAACCUACCUAUAAGGCUGGGAUAACUUCGGGAAACCGGAGCUAAUACCGGAUAAUAUUUUGAACCGCAUGGUUCAAAAGUGAAAGACGGUCUUGCUGUCACUUAUAGAUGGAUCCGCGCUGCAUUAGCUAGUUGGUAAGGUAACGGCUUACCAAGGCAACGAUGCAUAGCCGACCUGAGAGGGUGGGCGGCCACACUGGGACUGAGAUACGGCCCAGACUCCUGCGGGAGGCAGCAGUGGGGGGUAUUGCACAAUGGGCGGAAGCCUGAUGCAGCGACGUCGCGUGAGGGAUGGAGGCCUUCGGGUUGUGAACCUCUGUUUCCGGUGGUGAAGGCCCUGUCCGUGUGGUGGGGUUGACGGUAGCCGGGGAUGAAGCGCCGGCUAACUACGUG